rnacentral:lncRNA from 1 species
UUUUAUUGGCCUUCCACCUCGUGACAUGUUGAGGUUUGCCGUAGCAUCACUCAUAUAUCCUCUCUCAUCAUCUUGCUCAUUACAAGCAAUUUGAGUAACAGAAGGACUGCCAUGUGCAGGAGAGUAUAGAGGGACCAAAGAAUUGUCCGGUGAAACCAAGUUGGCCUCGAGGACAAUAACAGGGGAUGGAAUUUCUUCCAUAAUAUCAGCUACAGUUGGAGCAGAUUGUGCGUCUGCUAAUGGUGAUGAAGUCAAAAAAUAGUUGGAGCCAGUGGCUAAAUGUACCUUAGAGCAAGUGAGAUUGUUUACCGGAGUGGAAAAUUCCUUCAGCUCAU